GGCUUGUGGCUCAGUGGUAGAGUGCUUGCCUGGCAUGUGGGGGCCCUGGGUUCAAUCCUUAGCACCA
rnacentral:tRNA from 1 species